AAUGAACGUUGGCGGCAUGGAUUAGGCAUGCAAGUCGAGCGAGGAGAGUUUUGAAGCUUGCUUUAGAACUCGGACAGCGGCGAAAGGGAGAGUAACGCGUAGUUAUGUGCCAUAGGGUCCGGAAUAGCCACGGGAAACUGUGGGUAAUGCCGGAUAAUAUCCCCGGAUCAAAGGGGUGAUUCCGCCCUAGGAGCAGACUGCGUCCUACUAGCUAGUUGGUGGGGUAAUGGCCCACCAAGGCAAUGAUGGGUAGCGGGUGUGAGAGCAUGACCCGUCUCACUGGGACUGAGACACUGCCCAGACACCUACGGGUGGCUGCAGUCGAGAAUCUUCGGCAAUGGGCGAAAGCCUGACCGAGCGAUGCCGCGUGCGGGAUGAAGGCCCUCGGGUUGUAAACCGCUGUCGUAGGGGAGGAAGGUUCCGUGAAGAGCGGGACUUGACCUAUCCUAGGAGGAAGUACGGGCUAAGUUCGUGCCAGCAGCCGCAGUAAGAC
rnacentral:rRNA from 1 species